rnacentral:rRNA from 1 species
CCCUUAGAUGUCCGGGGCCGCCCGCGCGCUACACUGAAGGAAUCAGCGUGGCUUUCUCCCUGACCCGAAAGGGUUGGGAAACCCGUUGAAUCUCCUUCGUGAUAGGGAUUGGGGCUUGAAAUUGUUCCCCAUGAACGAGGAAUUCCCAGUAAGCGCGAGUCAUAAGCUCGCGUUGAUUACGUCCCUGCCCUUUGUACACACCGCCCGUCGCUACUACCGAUUGAACGGUUUAGUGAGGGCCUCGGAUUGGUCUCGGCCCGCUCUUUACCGGGCGGCGCCGUUGGUCGAGAAGACGCUCGAACUUGAUCGUUUAGAGGAAGUAAAAGUCGUAACA